AGCUCAAUAACCUCGGCCCCAAGCUGGGUCUCUGAUGCAAGUCUCUGGUCGACUUCCUUCUUCAUCUGGAUAUCUUUGGCUUUGAGUUGCUUCUCCAAGUCUCUGAUCUUCUUCAGAUAACCGGCUUCAGCUCUCUGCAAUCUCAAACUCUCUCGGUGCUCUGCAUCUAACAAAGUCUCCAUCUCUGAAUAAGACCUCUUUUUGCUCCUGACUCCCCCAACAUCUGCACUCUGGAUGUCUCUGAGUUGAUGAG
rnacentral:lncRNA from 1 species